UACGUAGGGUCCGAGCGUUGUCCGGAAUUACUGGGCGUAAAGAGCUCGUAGGUGGUUUGUCGCGUUGUUCGUGAAAACUCACAGCUUAACUGUGGGCGUGCGGGCGAUACGGGCAGACUUGAGUACUGCAGGGGAGACUGGAAUUCCUGGUGUAGCGGUGGAAUGCGCAGAUAUCAGGAGGAACACCGGUGGCGAAGGCGGCUCUCUGGGACGGUACUGACGCUGAGACGCGAAAGCGUGGGGAGCGAACAGG
rnacentral:rRNA from 1 species